AUCAGGAGUAUCAGCGAAACAAUGACACAAAUAACGAUGUAUCUGUUACACUUUACUGUCCGGUUUUCUGGCUUGGUUAUUUUACAUAUCCAGGAUAGCUGAUGAAAACCUCAACUGCACACUGCUUUAAUUCUACUGUUUCUGUAACAGCUGACUUUUUAACUGUAAGGCUGUGCAAGCUGAGCUUUCACUACAUACCUCUGUAGGUAUUCCUGAGCCACCACUCUCGUUCAGUCUGCACUGCCCUGCCUCCCUCCAGUUUCCAUGGCCUGAGAUGCAGUCUCCAAACUACAUCGCUUACAAGAAAGCUUCAAACUUUCAGGUUCCAAGUACCUGCCUCUGCUACUUACAAACCUUAAAAGAUUUCAGCCCAAAUUCUGAUCGGUUCCCAUGCUUAAAUUCUGUAUUGUAAUAGGUGCUAAAAGCAGAGGCUGCAUCUGGAAAGCAACAGGCAGCUUGUGUACCCAUAUCUAACUGUACAGGUACAGAUGCUAUGCCAAGACACAAAUUAAGUCAUCUGGGGAUAUUCUGGUUGUUUCACUGUCGAACUGUGCAGCUGUAUGCCCCUCCUACUGACAGCCAUCCUCUCCCUCCUUCCUACUCAUGCUCACACAUGGUGAGCUUCAAACACCCUGCCAUAAAUCAUUUUCCAUAUUCUUUGAGGUAUCUGCUUCCUUCCUUUUCUCAAAUACAAAUGGCAAAGGAUUGACAAUAAUCUGGGAAAAAGAAAAAGAUAAUGUAGCCCACAUUUGUUUUAAAUUUAUUUCACAUUAUUUUGUAAUGUUUUAAGCCCCAUAUGGAACAAUGAGAAGGACAUCUGAAGGAAUUUUCAUCUCAGAUCUGAGUUGCUGCACUACAACCAUGUUAUUCUUCCCUUCUGUUUGCUACAGUAAUUGUUAGGCACCUCAUCCUAUUAAAAUCCCCUCUGCCCAAGGGCCCUUAAUCCCAGGAAGACACAUACACAGUUUAUGCCCUUCUCAUUUCAGUUGGCAUACUUCUCUAUUUUGUACUUCGUUCAUAUUAUUUCUUCAUAGGCCAGAAGUCUGAAGCUUACAGAUCUGUCUGUGCGUUCUCCAGUUCACAAGAUCCUUAUGUGCUGCAAUCAACUUUUUCUUCUUAACCAUCUUCAAUCAAGUGAUGAAGGCCCCUUUUCAAGGAGGCACUUAUGCAGGAACAGUACCAGUAGCUUCACAUGUCUGAACAAAUCUGCACAUCCUGAUGUGAGCACAAUCCUGAGUUGGACACAAGCUUAGAAUUCAGCCUGACUAGGCUUCAGUCAUAAUAAAUUCACCCACCAGCAAAUUUUAGUGUGCUAACUGCUGAAAUGGACUACACCCAUGGAAGAAGCUCCUGACAAG
ensembl:lncRNA